rnacentral:rRNA from 1 species
ACAGCAGUAGCCGCGGGAAUACAGAGGGUGCGAGCGUUAAUCGGAUUUACUGGGCGUAAAGCGUGCGUAGGCGGCUUUUUAAGUCGGAUGUGAAAUCCCUGAGCUUAACUUAGGAAUUGCAUUCGAUACUGGGAAGCUAGAGUAUGGGAGAGGAUGGUAGAAUUCCAGGUGUAGCGGUGAAAUGCGUAGAGAUCUGGAGGAAUACCGAUGGCGAAGGCAGCCAUCUGGCCUAAUACUGACGCUGAGGUACGAAAGCAUGGGGAGCAAACAGGAUUAGAUACCCGUGUAGUCCCUGUCUCUUAUAA